AUACGGAGGGUGCGAGCGUUACUCGGAGCCACUGGGCGUAAAGCGUCCGUAGGCGGUCGGGUAAGUCGGGUGUGAAAGCCCCGGGCUCAACCUGGGAAGUGCACCCGAUACUGCUCGACUCGAGUGCGGGAGAGGAUGGCGGAAUUCCCGGUGUAGCGGUGAAAUGCGUAGAGAUCGGGAGGAACACCAGUGGCGAAGGCGGCCAUCUGGCCCGCAACUGACGCUGAGGGACGAAAGCGUGGGGAGCAAACAGGAUUAGAUACCCUAGUAGUCC
rnacentral:rRNA from 1 species